rnacentral:rRNA from 1 species
AGGACAUUAAUGAAAUUAUAAUCCGGCGAGGGGAAAGGCGGAGAGUUGUAGCUGGCCUCCAGGGGCAUGUGCACGCUCUCUUCCGGACCUUUCGCCGUAUGGGCGCGGGGCGACCCGCGUCUUCAUAUACCUCUUCGUGUAGAAAGUCUUUGAAUGUUUUACCAUCAUCGAGUCGCGACUUCUAGGAGACGCGAUUCUUUGAGAAAAAAGUUAUUACAACUUUCAGCAACGGAUCUCUUGGCUCUCGCAUCGAUGAAGAACGCAGCGAAUCGCGAUAUGUAAUGUGAAUUGCAGAUCUACAGUGAAUCAUCGAAUCUUUGAACGCACCUUGCGCUCCUCGGUGUUCCGAGGAGCAUGCCUGUUUGAGUGUCAGUAAAUUCUCAACCCCUCUCGAUUUGCUUCGAGCGGGUGCUUGGAUGUUGGGGGCUGCCGGAGACACUGGAUUCGUCCAGGACUCGGGCUCCUCUUAAAUGAAUCGGCUCGCGGUCGACUUUCGACUUUGCAUGACAAGGCCUUUGGCGUGAUAAUGAUCGCCGUUCGCCGAAGUGCAAGACAGAAUGGUCCCGUGCCUCUAAUGCGUCGACGCCUCUAGGGGCGUCUUCCUCAUUGACGUUUGACCUCAAAUCAGGUAGGACUACCCGCUGAACUUAAGCAUAUCAAUAAGCGGAGGAAAAGAAACUAACAAGGAUUCCCCUAGUAACUGCGAGUGAACCGGGAAAAGCUCAAAUUUUGAAUCUGGCGGUCUUCAGGCCGUCCGAGUUGUAAUCUAGAGAAGCGUCUGCCGCG